GCUCAUGUGGUUUGGAAGAUCAUUGGUUUUAUUUGUAGAUGAAGCUGAACUGCUGUUUCACCGUUGCUGCAUCUCUCAAGACCUUUUCAGACUGAAGCAACAGCAGGUUCUUGCUCCCAGAGACCAGGAUCUAGGACGUAUGUGGCCUAAGGAAAGGCCAGCAAGAGAGCUGUAUUCUGUCCUUAACAAUGGGAACCACACCGAGCAGAAGAAGAAGUCUCUGCACGCCAACACAGAGUCCCACGAGUCCUGCUUGUGACCAACAACGACUCCUCAGUCACAUCUCCAAUGACCUCGGCUCUGACACCGUCACCACAGAGACGAUGGAAACACAGCGCAGCCUUCACAGAAUCAGAUGCUACAAACAAAAAAGGAGCCCCGAUAGGACUUUAGGGAUCCAGGGGAGGAAUGUGCCAUUGUCAUGGGUGCAUCUGGUUUUAAAGUUCAGCCAACACUCAUCCUGUGUUCUUCAAAGGUGGCAGGCACCUGGUGGAACAAAACCAGUUCUCAUGUCUCUCUGAGGCUGUUUCUGUUAGGCUGGUUCUCCCGUCUGCAGGCCCACAGAAGACUCACUGGAUCAGAGCCAGUAUGUGACUGUGAUCCCAUCAGCAGGCCCCCUGGUGGCUAUCUGUGAAGUCCAGCUUGUCGUGCGGAGAACCGGCAGCUUCGGUGGAAUGUGUAGGAGAAAUUUCACAGCACGAGAUGUGAUUAAUGACUGACUGGGAGUCGUGGAAGUGAAAUAUGUUGCCAAAGCUAUUUGAUAUUACAUACAGGGGACCUAUUUCUGAUUAUGAUAUGAUGCUCCCUGUUGUUUUCCAGUACAAAACCAGAGAUAGAUUUUAGAAGGUUGUUCCUUGUUGGAGAAAUUAGUGUUUGAAAUGAGUGUUAUUCAUGAAAAGAAGUUUAGAACAGUAUUCCUUCUGCUGAACAUCGAGUGUUUUAGCCUUGACAGCAGCUGAAGAACCUGUGUGUCUCUUAUUUGCUAAAUCCUCAUUAAGCUGAAAGGAAGAUGUGUUUGCAAGGCUUCGUUAAAACCCUGACCCUGACUGUCGAAGUGCAUUAUAACAGAGGCUGCUAGCUCACACUGCGUGCUCAUGACUCCAUGAGGCUCCGUCUCAAACAUUGUUUUCCUUCUCGCAAUAAGAAGUUUGAGGAUCACAACACAUAAAAGCUGCUCAUGAAUGAUUCAACAGGCAUUGAAAUGGCGCAUUAUGUGCAUGGUUGUGUGUGUGUGUGUGUGUGUGUGUGUGUGUGUGUGUGUGUGUGUGUGUGUGUGUGUGUGUGUGUGUGUGCGCGUCUGUAUGUGUGUUUCCAUGGUGAUGCAUUUCUUCAUACGAGCGAGCUUCUGAGUGUGUAUGUCCUCAUGUGUGAUGUUCGUAUGUAUGAAACCUUUUCCCAUCAUCCCGCGCUGUAUUGCCCGCGCUUCAUCUCGAGACGUCAUUUAUUCCCUCCGCCUCCGCCUCCGCUCACCUCGGAGUGUAAAGAAUGUAUCAGAAAUAUUUCCAUUUGUGUGUUUCAUGGAAACAAAGAACACUAAAGCCAACUGUUCACCUGUACCCACAAUGCAAUGCAAUCAUGUCCUUUUUUUAUUCUUUUUGUUUUAUCUCAGUCUUGAAUACAUACAUACAACUGA